AGUGAACGCUGGCGGUAGGCCUAACACAUGCAAGUCGAACGGCAGCACAGUAAGAGCUUGCUCUUACGGGUGGCGAGUGGCGGACGGGUGAGGAAUACAUCGGAAUCUACUUUUUCGUGGGGGAUAACGUAGGGAAACUUACGCUAAUACCGCAUACGACCUACGGGUGAAAGCAGGGGAUCUUCGGACCUUGCGCGAUUGAAUGAGCCGAUGUCGGAUUAGCUAGUUGGCGGGGUAAAGGCCCACCAAGGCGACGAUCCGUAGCUGGUCUGAGAGGAUGAUCAGCCACACUGGAACUGAGACACGGUCCAGACUCCUACGGGAGGCAGCAGUGGGGAAUAUUGGACAAUGGGCGAAAGCCUGAUCCAGCCAAACCGCGUGGGUGAAGAAGGCCUUCGGGUUGUAAAGCCCUUUUGUUGGGAAAGAAAAGCAGCAGGUUAAUACCCCGCUGUUCUGACGGUACCCAAAGAAUAAGCACCGGCUAACUUCGUG
rnacentral:rRNA from 1 species